rnacentral:rRNA from 1 species
GCAGUCAUCCGCUUGCAAGUACAUGCUCUCUUAACCGGUAGACUGUAUAAGUAAGCAUUUUACCUUGAGAAAACAGAGUGUUCCAGGCAGGUUUGUCCGGAAUGCAUUAGCAUGGAAUAAUAGAAUAUGACUGAGGUCGAUUUAUUGGUUAGAGACUUUAGUAAUGAUUAAUAGGAACAAUCGGGGGCAUUGGUACUUGUCAGUCAGAGGUGAAAUUCUUGGAUUUGACAAAGACUAACUGAUGCGAAAGCGUUUGCCAAGAAUGUUUUCAUUAAUCAAGAACGAAAGUUAGGGGAUCAAAAGACGAUCAGAUACCGUCCUAGUCUUAACUAUAAACUAUACCGACUCGGAUUCAGAUGAAUAUCAAAGUUCAUUUGGGACCGUAGGAGAAAUCAAAAGUCUUUGGGGUUCUGGGGGG